rnacentral:rRNA from 1 species
GACGAACGCUGGCGGCGUGCUUAACACAUGCAAGUCGAACGGUGAAGCGCCUUCCUUUUUGGUGGGUGUGGAUGAGUGGCGAACUGGUGAGUAACACGUUAGUAUCCUUCCCCCUCCUGCUGGAUAACCGCAUGAAAGUGCUGCUAACACGUGAUAUUCUGAGUCUGUUGCAUGAUGGGUCUGAGAAAGAUUUUGUUUCGGUUGGGGAUGGGCCCGCGGCGUAUUAGCUAGUUGGUGGGGUGAUGGCCUACCAAGGCGGCGAUGAAUAGCCGCCCUGAGAGGGGGGUGGGCCGUCCCGGAGGGAAGGAGCGGCGGACACUCCUACGAGGGGAGGCAGUAGGGAAGAUUCGGGCACGGUGGGCGGAAGGCUGAUGCAGCGCCGCCGCGGGAGUGAUGGACGCCGGCGGGUUGAGAACCGCUUUCGGGAGUGAAGAAAGGCUGCAGCGUCUGUGGGUAGCUUGACGGUAGCUGGAUAAGAAGCGCCGGCUAACUACGUG